GAUGAACGCUGGCGGCGCGCCUAACACAUGCAAGUCGAACGAUUAAAGCACCUUCGGGUGUGUAUAAAGUGGCGAACGGCUGAGUAACACGUGGGCAACCUGCCCCUUUCAUUGGGAUAGCCACGGGAAACCGUGGAUAAUACCGAAUACUUCGAGACUUCCGCAUGGAAGACUCGAGAAAGCUCCGGCGGAGUGGGAUGGGCCCGCGGCCUGUUAGCUUGUUGGUGGGGUAACGGCCUACCAAGGCAAUGAUGGGUAGCUGGGUUGAGAGACCGACCAGCCAGAUUGGGACUGCGACACGGCCCAGACUCCUACGGAAGGCAGCAGUGGGGAAUCUUGCACAAUGGGCGAAAGCCUGAUGCAGCGACGCCGCGUGCGGGAUGAAGGCCUUCGGGUUGUAAACCGCUUUCAGCAGGGACGAGGCGAAAGUGACGGUACCUGCAGAAGAAGCCCCGGCUAACUACGUG
rnacentral:rRNA from 1 species